UACGUAGGGUGCGAGCGUUGUCCGGAAUUAUUGGGCGUAAAGGGCUCGUAGGCGGUUUGUCGCGUCGGGAGUGAAAUCCACUGGCUUAACUGGUGGCUUGCUUUCGAUACGGGCAGACUGGAGGUAUGCAGGGGAGAACGGAAUUCCUGGUGUAGCGGUGAAAUGCGCAGAUAUCAGGAGGAACACCGGUGGCGAAGGCGGGUCUCUGGGCCGAUACUGACGCUGAGGAGCGAAAGCGUGGGGAGCGAACAGG
rnacentral:rRNA from 1 species